CCCCCACCUCAGUGCACACUACCCCUCUCUUGGUGUCUCCUCCUCAACCCUCUUACCACCCUCCUCCACCCAGACCCCCCCACCCCCCUCACCCUGCCUCAUCCCUCCCUCUCACCCUGCCUCACCUCCAUCUCACCACUCCUUUCCACCCCCUUCCUUCCUCAUCACACUGCUCCAGGCACCUUCUCAGCCCUCUGCACCCUGCCCCAUCUGUGCUGCUUCCCUUCACACCACACCCCUGCCCACCCCACGCCCAUCCAGUGUCCCUGGCCCUGUGCACCUGCCCUGGCUUUGGGGAGUGCAGCGUCUGCGGUGACGAUGAUGCCAGGCCAUUGACUUCACUCCUCUUUCCAGGUUUGCAGGAACAGCUGUCUCCGUUUCACUCGUGUUCAAAGAACUCGUGGCAGGCAGUGGUAACCAUGGCGACGAAGGCCAUAAAUUCCUGGAAAUCACAUUCGCCAUCUCCAUCAUUGUCCAGAGUUUCCAUGACUUUGUCCACCACCUCCUGCUCCUUGAUUUCCUAGGAGAUAGAAGAGACAUUGCCCAUCUUGGUUUUAAAUGAAGUUUAGCGCCAUCAAACCAUGAUUAAUCGUUGGCUCACCUUAAUAAUUUGUAUCAGAAGCAACUUAAGAUGUAAAAUGCAAAAUACCAGAACGCUUUUUCCUGUGACCAGGGGGCUCUUGGCUGGGCAGAAGUCUCUGGGGGUCCGGGCCUUCUCUUCCACCUUACUUUGAGUCUGCUGGGCCCCAGGCUACUUGAAAAGACUCAAUGGAACAACCAGGUUCGAAAAACUGCAGCUUGUGCUCCACUAUACUUAAAACACACGUUCUAAAUAAGCCCGAGCGUGUUGUAAGCAAACAUCUUGGAAGAAAAAAUGAACUUUUGGUUCCGCCCAAGGUUUUCACUGUUUCUGCGUGUGGAAGUCCUUAUUUGUUAACUCCUUGUGUUCUUUUUGCCAUUUGAAUUGCUUUCUGGCAUCAUGGGACUUUUCCGAGGACUCUGCUGCCCAACCCUGAAACCCAGUAAGUGGUGUGAGAGGAGCCAACGCUGUGCAGGGCUACACACGUGGUGGGAACGGCGGGGCACGAAGAGCAAAGAGCAUAAGUGCGCUGGUUCGGAAUGGCCGGGCCCCGGAGCAAGACAGCCCGCCCGGAAGCAGUCGCGUGUAGCUGGCUGGAUAUAAAAGCGUGAAGGACUGAUUCCAGUGGGGUUGGAUGGGACCUGGAAACAUCUGCCUCAGACAGAGGGGAGCAGUACACUCUUUCAAUCCCAUUAUAGAUUUGCCUCCAGCCUGGAAUUACCCUGACAAAACUAGGCCAACAAAUGUUCAUGACAUCUUGAUGUGCUUGCCAUGAACUAUGUAUCUUUUAUAAAUUGUGGUUCCCACAUGCUAAGUUUUUCCUGUUAUAAAAUUAAUAAUUAUUGGUAAGUACUUUCA